GCUGCAGCAGCAAAUCAAUUAACUGAUUUGGGAUCAAAUGUGACCAUAAACUGUGAUCUUGAUGAUAAUGAGGUUUAUUGGAUUUUACUGAAAACACCAGAUCCUCCAACAGUGAUUCUACGAUCAACCUCAAUUCCAAAAGCACCUUUUUACUUCAGUGAAACAUUCAGAAACAAAUAUUCACUGCAAUUUAAACAUCAUCUGGUUAUAAAUAAUGUCACUGCUGAUGAAUUAGGAGUUUAUUACUGUAUGAACACACGCACACCUCCAAAACUCAGCAACAGCACCAGACUGUACAUCGCCGAACCAGUUCAACUAACUGAGUCAACAAAGUGUCACAAUCAUACAGCGGUGGAGUGUAUUGAUCAGAAUCAGACACAAUGGCAGAUUAUCAUCAUAAUAUCUGGUCUGAUGAACGGGCUUCUGGUCAUCAUGCUGAUUGGACUAGUAAAGGAUUUUGUUGGAAACAGAAGGUCCACAGAACACUCACAACAUCUCAACACUGAUCUACAGCAGUCACAAGUUAUAGAAGAGUAUCAGGACCAGUUACAGUAUGCUGGGGUGGAUUUUUCCAAGCUACAUAGAAACUUUCUGUUCAGCCAAGUCACCUAUGCUGCACUAAAGCCAGUAAAAACAUGAACGUAUGCAUAUGAUGGACUACUUUUGUUCACUGUUUCUUGAAUUUCUAACCACAAACUGUCAGCUCUCAGCAAAGCGUGCUGGGGAUCCGCUGGAAAGUUUAGAGAAAAAACUAAUACAAUAAGUUAAAAUAGACUUAAUGUGCUUUGAUUUAUCACUGCAUCAGUUAUUUUGUAUAAAAAAAGCAAACAGCAUCAGUUAACUGACCAAAGGUUUAACUGCUAGGGGGUUUAAACAGCUGGUGGGUUUAUUGAAAAAAAAAAAUGUGCUGACAAAUGAAGAGCAUAAAUAUUUUCUGUAUAGAAAAACAUUGUCCUUGUAUUUUCAACAUACUCUAUUAUUUUAAACUGAUACAAAAAAAAACAAAAAAACAAUAUGAAUAACGUGUUUUCACACUUGGUCCUUUUCAGGGGUCUGAGCAUGGUUCAUGUGAUUUUUGGCCCAUAUGUGAACACUCCAAACGAUCUUAGACCUUUUAAAAAUGAACCGAACCUAGACCAUCUCGGGAGGUGGUCUGGGUACGGUUCGCUAAAAAAUGUCCAUUGUGAACACAAAUCAGUCCGGGCUCACUUAAAUAUUACAUUCACAAUUUCCAUGUUGUUUGGCCAUCAGAUGCCUCCAUACAAAUCGACUGUUCAUCAUGGCUGUUUCUUUUCUCAGAUCUCUACAAUUUGUUCACAAUAUAGGCUACACUCGUUUACUGUAAUUUCAACCGCUUCCAAACUGUGUAGGAGAGACGCGGAUGCAGGCCUUGCCAGUUUUAACAUUUUUUGAUAUACGGUUUCACGAGCGCACACACCUAAAGUGCAUGCGCAAAAAAACAGCUGUCACAGCACGUGUACUAAACCAAAACUUAUAUUGACUAAACUGAAUUAUUUGUAGCGUCUUAUUGUGUUUAAAGUGCCAAAAACACACAAGUUCAGAUAAACAGUUGGUUUGGUCUUAAGUGAAUGUAAUCAUCUGGAAGAAAUCGUGUAUGUUCAGUAUAUUCAUUACUGGAUCCAUGCAUUACUGUAGUUCUUAAAGUGACAGCAGCUUAAAAUAAGAAUCAGUAGAGUCAGUAUACAUUUUAUUUAUACAAUGAAGAAUAUGCUUUUUUUCAUUUGAUUAUUCCAUUCCAUUCCAUUUCUUUUUUUUUUUUUUUUUUUUGAACAACAGUUUUAUUUAUCAAAAAUUAUCACACGUUUAAACAACAUUUACAUUUUUCCAUUAUUUCCAUUUCUUACUUGAAUGCUGUUUUUAGAUAUACCUACUGUACCUGGAAAAUUUAAAGCAAUUUCAUUUGCAUCUUUCUUUUAUUAUAUUUGUCCUAUUGUUUUUUUUUGUUUUUUUUUCUAUGCUGAUGUUAGCAUUGUCUUCUGUAAUAAAACAUUAUUCAAGGAAAACAAUUCAAAAUAAAUGUUAUUUACAAAGGUAUGUGUGAUAUAGUGCAAGAAUAUGGAUGUACUGUAGUAUUGAAUUUUUUAAAAUAUAUUUUUGUGCA